AAUAGACAACCUGUCUUGGGCUAUGUAGUAUUUUAACGGUUCGGGUCGCUUCAGUUCGGCCCGUUUUGUCACGUCUAACACGGCCACUGCAAUCAAACGCAGGGACAUUGGGAGGUUUUACAGAGGUUUAGGGUUGGACAAAAAUGGCAGCAGCCACAGUUGCUGGAAGAUCCACAUCAAUUUUCGCGCGCACUCUCCCGAGAUCAACACCACCAAGAACAAGAUUCUCUCAAGUCUCGGUCUCAAAUGGUUCCUUUCCCUCCAGUUCUAAUCUCCAUUCGCAGAGCCGAGUUUUCUCUCCGCCUUCUCCUUGUAGGUUGUUGCGACGAGAAUUAAGCACGCUUGUUCCCAUCCACAGCGCCAUUUCAGCUGCUUGUCUUGUCUCCAAGCUUCCUAGCGAAGCUAGUGCUUCAAUCCAAGGUAGAUUUGCGAAUUACCUCAGUCCCAUCUAGGAGCAAGUGCUUGCAAAGAUUAAAACUCUUCCUCUUUUCAAUUUUAUAAUGCUGUUUAGUUCUUUUCUGAAAUAGAAAUUUAGGCUUUCGGAUGUCAAUUGCUUACCAAUGUUUGUUUACUCAUCAUUAAUUGAGGUGGAAAUCUUGGUUACUUAUGUUCUAGUUGCUAUGUGAUAAAUGGAUUUGACUCAGAUGAUAAAAUUGUGUCUUAAUAAUUUUCUAAUAAUAUCAUUUGUAUCUUUAUAGAUUAGAUUUCAGGACUAAUGAAUGGUUUGAUGUACCCUGGUUGUGAUGAUGAUGAUUAUAUCAUAUUAGUUCAUAAAUACAUGGAGUAUUAUCCGCUGUUAUUUUAGUUUUGGUAUUGGAAACUAUUUCCAUCACCUUUUGAUAUAUUUUAGAACCAUUUCUUGGGAAAUAAUUUUGUAAACCUGGUUUCACAGUUAUGUUUCAUAAUUUGUGGCUAUUAAAUGUUGACUAAUCCUAGAUUUGAAACAUCCCCAACUCGACUCCCUUCAUGGGCACCAACAUGGUCAAAGACCAUUGUUUUCCACUUCUUAUUAUUGUAGGGUUUGGCUGGAGCUCAAGGUCGGGGGGUUUAUGGAUUAUCAACAAAAAAAUGAAAAGCUAGUUUUUUCAGUUGAAAAUCUUGAGAUGGAACUGAUUAAGAUCGCACACCUAAACUAUUCUCUUCAUUAUCUUACCUGUCCAAAAAAUGUUUUAGGUAUGGUGGAAGGGAGCGAGUGACGACAUUCAUUAAGAUCAGCAGAGGUUUGAAGAUAUAAACAAACACAGGGACAUUUCUAUACCUUUUCUUUUAUUCUCUUGAACUCUUCAAUUCAAACUUUAAUAAUAAA